rnacentral:rRNA from 1 species
CCUACGGGGGGCAGCAGUGGGGGAUAUUGGACAAUGGGGGGAACCCUGAUCCAGCGACGCCGCGUGAGUGAAGAAGUAUUUCGGUAUGUAAAGCUCUGUCAGCAGGGAAGAAAGAAAUGACGGUACCUGACCAAGAAGCCCCGGCUAACUACGUGCCAGCAGCCGCGGUAAUACGUAGGGGGCAAGCGUUAUCCGGAAUUACUGGGUGUAAAGGGAGCGUAGACGGUUAAGUAAGUCUGGAGUGAAAGGCCGGGGCCCAACCCCGGGACUGCUCUGGAAACUAUUGAACUUGAGUGCAGGGGAGGUAAGCGGAAGUCCUAGUGUAGCGGUGAAAUGCGUAGAUAUUAGGAGGAACACCAGUGGCGAAGGCGGCUUACUGGACUGUAACUGACGUUGAGGCUCGAAAGCGUGGGGAGCAAACAGGAUUAGAUACCCGUGUAGUC